rnacentral:lncRNA from 1 species
GAAAGAACCUACAGCACAGAUAAGCCAGAAAAUGAGCAAAUAAAUCAUCGGGCUACUUUGGUAUUUUCACAAUUAUGAGCAUGGGAAGCAGUUUUGCACGGUGGCUAAGAGCACGACCUUUAGCGACAGACAGAACACGGCUUCUAACUCUUUGUAGCUAUGUGAACUGAGUAAGUUUAUUUACCUCUCUGAGUCUCAGUUUCCUCAUCUUUAAAUUGGGGAUAAUAACACCCAUCUCAUAGUGUCGCUGUAAGGAUAAAUAAGAUAACUCAUACGAAGCUCUUUGCAACAGGCUUGAUACACAGCAUACAUAGGUACAAGUUUUAUCAGCAGUAGUGCUGAUAAAAAUUACCUGAGAAAUCCUUCAAGAAUGACCACAACAUACUCGAUGAGCUCUGGCUCUGAAUGACCUUGUUCCAAGAGUGUGGCCCACAAAGAGUUGAGAGGUGGACAGUUGAUAGGAUGAAGUUCAGGAUGAAGCUGGACCAUUCCAAAGGAAAUCCUGCCAAUUUCCAUGGCAUUUACUCAUUGAGAAUUAGACCCCAUGGAAAGUGAAGAAGGAGAAAAGGUCAGAGAAACCAUAAAGAGAGAUGUUGAUAAAUCAGAGGAGAGAACUUGGCACACCCAGCAAACAUUUACCAGCAAAAUAUACAUUCAGAUCUCUUUGGAAGGCUUCUGAAAGGAGGAAGGCCUUGAAGUGCAGGCGUGAAAAUAAAGACGGGGAAACAGAGAAGGAAGAGAUAUCAAAUCACUGGAAGCCAGGAUAUAUUCUCAGGUGAUCAGUCACCUGUCAGCCCAGGAUGAAAAGGCACCCUUCUAAGAACGAGUCCUUGGCAGCUAUUCGUGCUACACCUUUUCUUUCACUCAA